rnacentral:rRNA from 1 species
GAUGAACGCUGGCGGCGUGCUUAACACAUGCAAGUCGAACGAUGAAGCCCAGCUUGCUGGGUGGAUUAGUGGCGAACGGGUGAGUAACACGUGAGUAACCUGCCCUUAACUCUGGGAUAAGCCUGGGAAACUGGGUCUAAUACCGGAUAGGAGCGUCCACCGCAUGGUGGGUGUUGGAAAGAUUUAUCGGUUUUGGAUGGACUCGCGGCCUAUCAGCUUGUUGGUGAGGUAAUGGCUCACCAAGGCGACGACGGGUAGCCGGCCUGAGAGGGUGACCGGCCACACGGGGACUGAGACACGGCCCAGACUCCUACGGGAGGCAGCAGUGGGGAAUAUUGCACAAUGGGCGCAAGCCUGAUGCAGCGACGCCGCGUGAGGGAUGACGGCCUUCGGGUUGUAAACCUCUUUCAGUAGGGAAGAAGCGAAAGUGACGGUACCUGCAGAAGAAGCACCGGCGAACUACGU